GACGAACGCUGGCGGCGUGCUUAACACAUGCAAGUCGAACGGUAAGGCCCUUCGGGGUACACGAGUGGCGAACGGGUGAGUAACACGUGGGUGAUCUGCCCUGCACUUCGGGAUAAGCCUGGGAAACUGGGUCUAAUACCGGAUAGGACCAUGCGCUUCACGGUGUGUGGUGGAAAGCUUUUGCGGUGUGGGAUGGGCCCGCGGCCUAUCAGCUUGUUGGUGGGGUAAUGGCCUACCAAGGCGAUGAUCGGUAGCUGGUCUGAGAGGACGGCCAGCCACACGGGGACUGAGAGACGGCCCCGACUCCGACGGGAGGCAGCGGCAAGGAAUCUUCCGCAAUGGGCGAAAGCCUGACGGAGCAACGCCGCGUGGGGGAGGACGCUUUACGGAGUGUAAACCCCUUUUCUCGGGGACGAAGCACUGACGGUACCCGAGGAAGAAGGACCGGCUAACUACGUGCCAGCAGCCGCCGUAA
rnacentral:rRNA from 1 species